CAGUAGCCGCGGGAAUACGUAGGUGGCAAGCGUUGUCCGGAAUUACUGGGCUUAAAGCGCGUGUAGGCGGGUCGACACGUCCGAUGCUGAAAUCCCCCGGCUCAACCGGGGAAGUGGCCCGGAUACGAUCGACCUGGAGGGGGGUAGAGGGGCCUGGAACUUCCGGUGGAGCGGUGAGAUGCGUUGAGAUCGGAAGGAACGCCCGUGGCGAAAGCGAGGCCCUGGACCCUUACUGACGCUGAGACGCGAAAGCCAGGGGAGCGAACGGGAUUAGAUACCCGCGUAGUCCCUGUCUCUUAUA
rnacentral:rRNA from 1 species